rnacentral:rRNA from 1 species
UACGUAGGGUGCGAGCGUUGUCCGGAAUUACUGGGCGUAAAGAGCUCGUAGGUGGUUUGUCGCGUUGUCCGUGAAAACUCACAACUCAAUUGUGGGCGUGCGGGCGAUACGGGCAGACUGGAGUACUGCAGGGGAGACUGGAAUUCCUGGUGUAGCGGUGGAAUGCGCAGAUAUCAGGAGGAACACCGGUGGCGAAGGCGGCGCUCUGGGCCGGUACUGACGCUGAGGAGCGAAAGCGUGGGGAGCAAACAGG